CUGGUGCAUCGGCUGGUGACCAACACCACAGCCGGGUAGCCAAGUUUGGAAGGGAUAAACGCUGAAGGCAUCUAAGCGUGAAGCCCCCCUCAAGAUGAGAUAUCCCUGACGAAAGUCAAUAAGAUCCCUUGAAGACGACGAGGUAGAUAGGGCAGGGGUGGAAGCAUGGCAACAUGUGUAGCUGACUGUUACUAAUAGAUCGAAGGCUUGACCAA
rnacentral:rRNA from 1 species